GAUGAACGCCAGCGGCAGGCUUAAUACAUGCAAGUCGAGGGGCAGCAUGAUUGUAGCAAUACAAUUGAUGGCGACCGGCAAACGGGUGCGGAACACGUACACAACCUUCCAACAAGUGGGGGAUAGCCCAGAGAAAUUUGGAUUAAUACCCCGUAACAUAGCGAUGUGGCAUCACAUUGCUAUUAGAGAUUUUUCGCUUGUUGAUGGGUGUGCGGCUGAUUAGAUAGUUGGCGGGGUAACGGCCCACCAAGUCUACGAUCAGUAGCUGAUGUGAGAGCAUGAUCAGCCACACGGGCACUGAGACACGGGCCCGACUCCUACGGGAGGCAGCAGUAAGGAAUAUUGGACAAUGGACGCAAAUCUGAUCCAGCCAUGCCGCGUGAAGGAUUAAGGUCCUCUGGAUUGUAAACUUCUUUUAUAAGGGACGAAAAAAGGCUUUUCUAAGUCGUCUGACGGUACCUUAUGAAUAAGCACCGGCUAACUCCGUGCCAGCCGCCGCCGUAACAC
rnacentral:rRNA from 1 species